rnacentral:rRNA from 1 species
AAAUUGAAGAGUUUGAUCAUGGCUCAGAUUGAACGCUGGCGGCAGGCCUAACACAUGCAAGUCGAACGGUAACAGGAAGCAGCUUGCUGCUUUGCUGACGAGUGGCGGACGGGUGAGUAAUGUCUGGGAAACUGCCUGAUGGAGGGGGAUAACUACUGGAAACGGUGGCUAAUACCGCAUAACGUCGCAAGACCAAAGAGGGGGACCUUCGGGCCUCUUGCCAUCAGAUGUGCCCAGAUGGGAUUAGCUUGUUGGUGAGGUAACGGCUCACCAAGGCGACGAUCCCUAGCUGGUCUGAGAGGAUGACCAGCCACACUGGAACUGAGACACGGUCCAGACUCCUACGGGAGGCAGCAGUGGGAAUAUUGCACAAUGGGCGCAAGCCUGAUGCAGCCAUGCCGCGUGUAUGAAGAAGGCCUUCGGGUUGUAAAGUACUUUCAGCGGGGAGGAAGGUGUUGUGGUUAAUAACCGCAGCAAUUGACGUUACCCGCAGAAGAAGCACCGGCUAACUCCGUGCCAGCAGCCGCGGUAAUACGGAGGGUGCAAGCGUUAAUCGGAAUUACUGGGCGUAAAGCGCACGCAGGCGGUCUGUCAAGUCGGAUGUGAAAUCCCCGGGCUCAACCUGGGAACUGCAUUCGAAACUGGCAGGCUUGAGUCUUGUAGAGGGGGUAGAAUUCCAGGUGUAGCGGUGAAAUGCGUAGAGAUCUGGAGGAAUACCGGUGGCGAAGGCGGCCCCUGGACAAAGACUGACGCUCAGGUGCGAAAGCGUGGGGAGCAAACAGGAUUAGAUACCCUGGUAGUCCACGCCGUAAACGAUGUCUACUUGGAGGUUGUGCCCUUGAGGCGUGGCUUCCGGAGCUAACGCGUUAAGUAGACCGCCUGGGGAGUACGGCCGCAAGGUUAAAACUCAAAUGAAUUGACGGGGGCCCGCACAAGCGGUGGAGCAUGUGGUUUAAUUCGAUGCAACGCGAAGAACCUUACCUGGUCUUGACAUCCACAGAAGAAUCCAGAGAUGGAUUUGUGCCUUCGGGAACUGUGAGACAGGUGCUGCAUGGCUGUCGUCAGCUCGUGUUGUGAAAUGUUGGGUUAAGUCCGCAACGAGCGCAACCCUUAUCCUUUGUUGCCAGCGGUUAGGCCGGGAACUCAAAGGAGACUGCCAGUGAUAAACUGGAGGAAGGUGGGGAUGACGUCAAGUCAUCAUGGCCCUUACGACCAGGGCUACACACGUGCUACAAUGGCGCAUACAAAGAGAAGCGACCUCGCGAGAGCAAGCGGACCUCAUAAAGUGCGUCGUAGUCCGGAUUGGAGUCUGCAACUCGACUCCAUGAAGUCGGAAUCGCUAGUAAUCGUGGAUCAGAAUGCCACGGUGAAUACGUUCCCGGGCCUUGUACACACCGCCCGUCACACCAUGGGAGUGGGUUGCAAAAGAAGUAGGUAGCUUAACCUUCGGGAGGGCGCUUACCACUUUGUGAUUCAUGACUGGGGUGAAGUCGUAACAAGGUAACCGUAGGGGAACCUGCGGUUGGAUCACCUCCUUACCUUAAAGAA